GACGAACGCUGGCGGCGUGCUUAACACAUGCAAGUGGAGCGACGAACCAGGGCUUGCCCUGGGGCAGAGCCGCGAACGGGUGAGUAACACGUGGGUAACGUACCCCGAUGACUGGGACAACCCGGGGAAACCCGGGCUAAUACCGGAUGUGCACCCUCACAUCAGUGAGGUGUGUAAAGGAAGCUUCGGCCUCCGCAUUGGGAUCGGCCCGCGGCGCAUUAGCUUGUUGGUGAGGAACGGCUCACCAAGGCCGCGAUGCGUAGCUGGUCUGAGAGGACGAUCAGCCACACUGGGACUGAGACACGGCCCAGACUCCUACGGGAGGCAGCAGUGGGGAAUCUUGCGCAAUGCGCGAAAGCGUGACGCAGCAACGCCGCGUGGGGGAAGAAGG
rnacentral:rRNA from 1 species